CGGAACUGGGGUUCAGUGCAGUCGGAACUGGGGUUCAGCUUCCUUCUCCCUCCUGCCAGAGAAAGCCA